AUUGAACGCUGGCGGCAGGCCUAACACAUGCAAGUCGAGCGGAUGAAGGGAGCUUGCUCCUGGAUUCAGCGGCGGACGGGUGAGUAAUGCCUAGGAAUCUGCCUGGUAGUGGGGGAUAACGUCCGGAAACGGGUGCUAAUACCGCAUACGUCCUGAGGGAGAAAGUGGGGGAUCUUCGGACCUCACGCUAUCAGAUGAGCCUAGGUCGGAUUAGCUAGUUGGUGGGGUAAAGGCCUACCAAGGCGACGAUCCGUAACUGGUCUGAGAGGAUGAUCAGUCAAACUGGAACUGAGACACGGUCCAGACUCCUACGGGAGGCAGCAGUGGGGAAUAUUGGACAAGGGGCGAAAGCCUGAUCCAGCCAUGCCGCGUGGGUGAAGAAGGUCUUCGGAUUGUAAAGCACUUUAAGUUGGGAGGAAGGGCAGUAAGUUAAUACCUUGCUGUUUUGACGUGACCAACAGAAUAAACACCGGCUAACUUCGU
rnacentral:rRNA from 1 species